AUUACUUUGGCAGAUUAGUGCUUUAGAUUUAGAAUUUAAUAAAAAAUAAUUUAUUUAUUUAUGUAAUA
rnacentral:tRNA from 1 species